rnacentral:rRNA from 1 species
GUAGUCCACGCCCUAAACGAUGUCAACUAGUUGUCGGGACUUAAUUGUCUUGGUAACGCAGCUAACGCGUGAAGUUGACCGCCUGGGGAGUACGGUCGCAAGAUUAAAACUCAAAGGAAUUGACGGGGACCCGCACAAGCGGUGGAUGAUGUGGAUUAAUUCGAUGCAACGCGAAAAACCUUACCUACCCUUGACAUGGUACGGAUCUGCAAGAGAUUGCGGAGUGCUCGCAAGAGAACGUAUACACAGGUGCUGCAUGGCUGUCGUCAGCUCGUGUCGUGAGAUGUUGGGUUAAGUCCCGCAACGAGCGCAACCCUUGUCGGUAAUUGCCAUCAUUUGGUUGGGCACUUUACUGAGACUGCCGGUGACAAACCGGA